rnacentral:rRNA from 1 species
GUGGGGAAUAUUGCGCAAUGGCCGAAAGGCUGACGCAGCGACGCCGCGUGGGGGAUGAAGCAUUUCGGUGUGUAAACCCCUGUUGCCCGGGACGAACAAGCGAUUUCGAUCGCUCUGACGGUACCGGGUGAGGAAGCACCGGCUAACUCCGUGCCAGCAGCCGCGGUAAUACGGAGGGUGCGAGCGUUGUCCGGAAUCACUGGGCGUAAAGGGCGCGUAGGCGGUGACUUAAGCGUGUGGUGAAAGCCCGGGGCUCAACCCCGGGUCUGCCGUGCGAACUGGGUCACUCGAGCACUGUAGAGGCAGGUGGAAUUCCGGGUGUAGCGGUGGAAUGCGUAGAGAUCCGGAAGAACACCGGUGGCGAAGGCGGCCUGCUGGGCAGUAGCUGACGCUGAGGCGCGACAGCGUGGGGAGCAAACAGGAUUAGAUACCCUUGUAGUCC